rnacentral:rRNA from 1 species
CCUACGGGGGGCAGCAGUAGGGAAUCUUUCACAAUGGGCGAAAGCCUGAUGGAGCAACGCCGCGUGCAGGAUGACGGCCUUCGGGUUGUAAACUGCUUUUAUAAGCGAGAAAUAUGAUGGUAACUUUUGAAUAAGGAUCGGCGAACAACGUGCCAGCAGCCGCGGUCAUACGUAGGAUCCGAGCAUUAUCCGGAGGGACUGGGUGUAAAGAGUUGCGUACGUGGCAUAAUAAAUAGCUAGUGUAAACUGGUGGCUCAACCAUUCAGACUAUUAGCUAAACUGUUAAGCUCGAGACCGUUCGGGGUAACUGGAAUGUCUAGUGUAGGAGUGAAAUCCGUAGAUAUUAGAAGGAACACCAAUGGCGUAGGCAGGUUACUGGGACGGUUCUGACACUCAGGCACGAAAGCGUAGGGAGCAAACGGGAUUAGAUACCCGAGUAGUC